rnacentral:sRNA from 1 species
ACAGCCGCCAUUCCGGCUGCCGGACAAGGAAACCCGUCCAAAGCGAAAAGCCGCCGAAAGGCGGCUUUUUG